AAUGGCUCAGUGACCUCUGCCUGGCGCAGGAACUUGUCCUUCAUCCAGAAGAGGAGGGAUGAUGGGGCUGCCCCGGGGAGGAGGUGAAGCCAGCCCGGCCCCGGCGCAGUGAGGGGGUGGCGGGUCUGCUUCGAGGCUCUCUGGGGGCCUGAUCUGCCCCGGGGAGCAGAAGGCCCCCCCCAGCCCACCCACCACCCAGGCGGGUGUGAGUGUGUGAGGGUGAGUGUGUGACUCAAAGCUAUUCAUAGCGGCCGAGCAGCUGCAGCGUCACCGCCAGAAGGGGGCUCAUCCUAUAUUAUUAUUUUAAUUACCAUCUGAAUUAAAAGUUUGAGCAGCGAUCAGCCCACGUAAGGAGGGGAGGAGCCUGCGGAGAGCGACGCCCGAAGCGAGGCUCCCGGCGGCCAGCGCACCGGCCACCCGAGACCCGCCGGACGCAGCUUCCGGUCACGGGGGAAGGGCGCCGGCGUCCAUUUUACACCUGAGGAAACCGAGGCCUGGGCGCAAGGGCCGGGACUCCCUCUAGGCUGAGGCUGGCGCCCUUCCCACUAGGUCCCGGCUCUAGCAUGGCAGGCCUUCGAGGGGCCCAUUCGACGGAGGUGGGGAACUCCAGGCGUGGAACACUGCAUCCCCUGUCAGACUCAGCUGAUGGCAUGCUUAGCCUCACUGAAAGGCUUUUUCUCCUCUUUAUUUUUUAAACUAAAAAAUUCAAGUUAAACUGUUUUCUUUUGCA